rnacentral:lncRNA from 1 species
CUUUUCCCCUUCCUCCUUGGGCUAAGCCAGACCAGAAAGGGCCCCGUGCGCAACGUGCUUCACAAUCUCUCAGGGAAAGCGGCUAACGUGGCGCUACUCCGCCUCCCCUGUUCCUUACCCUUGGGGCGGCCGCCAUGUUUCCUGAACACAAAAUGGCGACACGUGGUUAGCAUUCGUCGCCAACGAGAAAUUGGGGUCGGCCCGAAAGCUCUAGAAUGCACCCCUCUUCCUCCCCGGGGCCUUCCACCUCCGCGAGUUUUAUGACUUAAAAAAGCCCACAGGCUGGUCUGAAGGUCGGAGGCCUAAUUUUAACGCGUUUUCCUCCCUUUAAUUUGAAACGGGAACGCGAAUGACUGUAAAAUAGGAAGACAAACAUAAAGAUGAAGUGCUUAAUUCAAGGUCACACAAUGUCGGGGAUGGACCUCCAGAUUUCCUUACUGACCUGCAUUAUCUUGUGGAUACCUGAGUGAAUUCCACACCACCCAUUUUAUAGAUGAAACCACUGAGACAUGGAGCAAUUGACUGAGUAGUCACUGCCCCACCCCUGCCUGGAGCCUCACACAUGACUCGCCUCCUCUCAGUGACCACAGGUUGGUUGAGGGGUUUAACAAGGCUAAGAAGGUGAGACGUGGUCUUGUAACACAGUGGUUAAGAAUGUGACUUUGGAGCCAGCCUGCUAGGGGCUGAAUUCUGACUCAGCCAUUUACUAACUGUGUGACCUUAGUCUGUCUAGUGACUGGUGUUGUCAUAAGAAGAGAGGGACACAGAGGGAAGAUGGCCACAUGAAGAUGGAGGCAGAGAUUGCAGUUAUGCUGCUGCAAACUAAGGAAUGGCUCUGGCCCUCCAAGGAUUGCUGAUAACCACCAGAAACUAGAAGAGACAAGGAAGGAUUCUUCCCUAGAGCCUUCAGAGGGAGCAUGGCCCUACUGACACCUGGAUUUCAAACUUGUAGCUUCCUAAACUGCAAGAGAAUAAAUUUCUGUUGUUUUAAGCCA